UGAUUUCACUGCCCUCGGUGGUCUCUACCAAUGGGUCCUGCUGCACCUGGGCUCUGCCUGCAGACACUGGCGGGGAGAUAAAGAAGAAAAACCGUCAGAAGUGCUUUUUGCACCGGAUGUUGUUUCCCAGAACAAAGGGCACAGAAGUGGUCAGGACCAUAUGGAGAAGAAUUUUAAGAGGAUGUCAAGGAGUAAGAUCGUCUGGAGUGAACACAUUCAAGAGGGCAAGUACGAGCUUUACAACCAUUUUUCUCUAUUCAGUGAUAUUUCCCCACAGGCCCGGAAAAGGCUGUUGAGUGUUUUCUGGGAGGAAGAAGGAUGCAUUGAUGAAAAGCCAGGAUAUAGGGAGGAGGUGGCCCAGGCAGAAAGUGAGGAUGAGAUAGCCAAAGUUCAUGCUGAGACCAACCUGCCUUUUUGUUGAGAGGUUCAGAAAUCACCACCCUGUCCUGAGAGAAGAGAGCUGCCAGAAACGACUCUCUUGGGGAGCAAAGGAAGCAGGAGGAGAGGGAAAUUAACUGUUCUUUCAGUGCCUGAACAGCUCUCUUUGGGUUUCUCCCUCCCCCAGCAGCAACCCCUGUGACUCCCUCAGCCAAUGGCAUUCUGAGCAUUGCUGGGCUCUGGGGCCUCACUCAUGGGCAGGGGCUGUUCCCGGUCAGAUCGCAGUGCAGUCAGUCCUCCCCUCCCCAGUUGCAAUCGCCUGCUCUGCUGCACACCCACUGCUGGGCUUUUGGGAACUGCGGGCUUAUUCCCUGCUGCACCUUUCACAUCUUCCCGUGCUGUCCGCAGUUCUCUGGGCUGCUUGCAGCUUCCUCAGGGAACACGUGUCUCCUCCUCCUCUGUGGCUUCUCCCCUGUGCUUCUUCAUCUGCCUUGGAAGAAUGCCUCUCUCCCAGCUCCCCAGGAUAGGGAGAUGAGCCUUGCUGGGCAGCAGCCCAGGGGCUCUAGCUGUGCCGUUCUCUGCCGGGGAAAUGCACAGUGCGAGAGAGGAACGUGGCUCCAGCAGGGCUGCUGGAUAUCCCAGCCCCAAUGGUGGCAAGGACAGCAUAUUUCCGGGGGAAUGUGCUGAGGGAUGAGCAGGGAACAGGAUGAAGACCCUCACGCACACGCAGGGAGCACACAUGGCAAUCACCGGAGUGCUGCCGGCGAGUGGUGGGGCUGGGAGAGCCCUGGCCCACCCAUCUGAAAGGGCAGCUGGUGGCUUGGCAGAUGGAGACCCGUAAUCCCAGCCCCUGGGCAGGCACCUUUGGUCUGGGAGGAAUCUUCGUCCGUAUUCAUUUUUGGGCCUCGGAUGGCUGAGUUCGGCGCGGCUCUCCUCCAUGCGAAUGACUGCCCUCCCAGCCAGGAAAGAAAGCCUUGACCCUCUGUCUCUCACCUGCUGUUGGUGCUCUGUUCUUGGCACUAUGUGUACAGCAAGAGCUUUCUGGGUGGGCACCUUUGGUCUGGGAGGAAUCUUCGUCCAUCUUGAAGUUUGGCCCUCGGACGGCCCGUUGCAGCGCGGCGCUCCUGCCAGUGAAUGACUGCCCUUCCACCCAGGAAAUAAAGGCCUGACCCUCCAUCUCUCGUGUGCACUUGGUGCACCACUCUCGGAACUA